AGGAAGGUAGCUCAGUGGUAGAGCACUUGCCUGCCAUGCAUGAGAUCCUACCUU
rnacentral:tRNA from 1 species